AAUACUUAGUGGCGAACGGGUGAGUAAUAUGUGGGAAUCUACCUUUCGGUCUGGAAUAACAUGAGGAAACUUAUGCUAAUACCGGAUAAGCCUUUACAGGGAAAGCUUUAUGCUCCGAUUGAUGAGUCCACACUUGAUUAGUUAGUUGGUGAGGUAAUAGCUCACCAAGACAAUGAUCAAUAGCUGAUUUGAGAGGAUGAUCAGCCACAUUGGGACUGAGACACGGCCCAAACCCCUACGGGAGGCAGCAGUGGGGAAUCUUGCACAAUGGGGGAAACCCUGAUGCAGCGAUGCCGCGUGAGUGAAGAAGGCCCUUGGGUUGUAAAGCUCUUUCGUCGGGGAAGAAAAUGACUGUACCCGAAUAAGAAGGUCCGGCUAACUUCGUGCCAGCAGCCGCGGUAAUACGAAGGGACCUAGCGUAGUUCGGAAUUACUGGGCUUAAAGAGCACGUAGGUGGUUAAAAAAGUUGGUGGUGAAAUCCCAGAGCUUAACUCUGGAACUGCCAUCAAAACUUUUUAGCUAGAGUAUGAUAGAGGAAAGUAGAAUUUCUAGUGUAGAGGUGAAAUUCGUAGAUAUUAGAAAGAAUACCAAUUGCGAAGGCAGCUUUCUGGAUCAUUACUGACACUGAGGAACGAAAGCAUGGGUAGCGAAGAGGAUUAGAUACCCUCGUAGUCCAUGCCGUAAACGAUGUGUGUUAGACGUUGGAAAUUUAUUUUCAGUG
rnacentral:rRNA from 1 species